rnacentral:rRNA from 1 species
ACGGGUGCAGCAGGCGCGAAAUCUUCACAAUGUGCGAAAGCACGAUGAGGGGAUCCCAAGUGCUGGCACGUAAGUGUCAGCUGUUUCUUUGUCUAAAAAACAAAGAGAGUAAGAGCUGGGUAAGACGGGUGCCAGCCGCCGCGGUAAUACCUGCAGCUCAAGUGGUGGCCGCUAUUAUUGGGCCUAAAACGUCCGUAGCCGGUUUAGUAAAUGCUUGGGUAAAUUGUGUAGCUUAACUAUACGAAUACCGGGUAGACUGCUAAACUUGGGACCGGGAGAGGCUAGAGGUACUCCUAGGGUAGAGGUGAAAUUCUGUAAUCCUAGGGGGACCACCAGUGGCGAAGGCGUCUAGCUAGAACGGGUCUGACGGUGAGGGACGAAGCCCUGGGGCGCAAACCGGAUUAGAUACCCGGGUAGUCCAGGGUGUAAACGCUGCUUGCUUGAUGUUAGUUGGGCUCCGAGCCCAACUAGUGUCGGAGAGAAGUUGUUAAGCAAGCUGCCUGGAA